AGAGUUUGAUCCUGGCUCAGGAUGAACGCUGGCGGCGUGCCUAACACAUGCAAGUCGAGCGCGAUUAAAUGAAGUGGAGAGCUUGCUCAAAGUGACAUUUAUGAAAGCGGCGGACGGGUGAGUAACGCGUGGGCAACCUGCCCUGUGCAGAGGGAUAGCCACUGGAAACGGUGAUUAAUACCUCAUGGAGCUAUUGAACCGCAUGGUUUAAUGGUGAAAGUUCCGGCGGCACAGGAUGGGCCCGCGUCUGAUUAGCUAGUUGGUGAGGUAACGGCUCACCAAGGCGACGAUCAGUAACCGACCUGAGAGGGCGGACGGUCACACUGGAACUGAGACACGGUCCAGACUCCUACGGGAGGCAGCAGUGGGGAAUAUUGCACAAUGGGCGCAAGCCUGAUGCAGCAACGCCGCGUGAGUGAAGAAGGCCUUCGGGUCGUAAAGCUCUGUCCUGUGGGACGAAACAAAUGACGGUACCACAGGAGGAAGCCCCGGCUAACUACGUGCCAGCAGCCGCGGUAAUACGUAGGGGGCAAGCGUUAUCCGGAAUCACUGGGCGUAAAGGGUGCGUAGGUGGCCUAUCAAGUCAGAAGUGAAAGGCAGUGGCUUAACCACUGUAAGCUUUUGAAACUGAUGGGCUUGAGUGCAGGAGAGGUAAGUGGAAUUCCUAGUGUAGCGGUGAAAUGCGUAGAUAUUAGGAGGAACACCAGUGGCGAAGGCGACUUACUGGACUGUUACUGACACUGAGGCACGAAAGCGUGGGGAGCAAACAGGAUUAGAUACCCUGGUAGUCC
rnacentral:rRNA from 1 species